UACGUAGGUGGCAAGCGUUGUCCGGAAUUAUUGGGCGUAAAGCGCGCGCAGGCGGCCUUUUAAGUCUGAUGUGAAAGCCCACGGCUCAACCGUGGAAGGUCAUUGGAAACUGAAAGGCUUGAGUACAGAAGAGGAAAGCGGAAUUCCACGUGUAGCGGUGAAAUGCGUAGAGAUGUGGAGGAACACCAGUGGCGAAGGCGCUUCUGGUCUGUAACUGACGCUGAGGCGCGAAGCGUGGGGAGCAAGCAGG
rnacentral:rRNA from 1 species